rnacentral:lncRNA from 1 species
UUCUGUCUCGUUUCUUUUUUUAUAGCUCAUCAUAACCUAUGCCUAUUUUUCCCUUUGAAUCUUUCAUAGAUUCCAGUCAUAGGCCAGAUUCAAGACUCAACCCCAAUUAUUGGGUAUAAGAGACACAAUAGGUAUUCAAUAAACAUCGGUUGAAUUGAAUUAAAUGGGAUUGAAAUUGGCCCCACUAAGACAUAGAUCUCUUAGGGGUUGUUUGGCUGCAAAAACCAGAAAUCUAGAUGACUAGCUAAAGCUAAACAAGAAAAUUUACUGUAAGGAUACAUGGAUUUCUUUAUGAGAAAAUGCAAAAGGAAGUGGAAACUUACCAGGAAUGAAAGAGAAUGCUGUUUAUAAUUUUUAGGGAGCAUUGAGGUCAAGGAUCUGCCUCACUAUCCUUCCACCUUUGGCUCUGCUUGCAGUGGCUCUGGUUCUAUCCAUGCUUUUACUAAGCCUGCAAAUUCUGUAAAGCAGGAAACUACAAAAACGUUACAAAAGGCUCUGUCAAAAGAUUCUUCAAGUGAUUAAGGAUAGCACACUCUGCAUAGGAAAUGAAGCCCUCGGAGAGAUUUGAAGAAGCCCUUGGAGAGAUUUGAGAUAUCCCUAACGGAGAAAGAAUUGACCUUCAUUAUCUCAGGAAGGCUUUUGACAUAAAAGAGAAAGAGAAGAAACUGAUUACUUAAAGAGGAGAGAGAGCUGUAAAGAGAACUACGAGGAUGAGCAUCAGGCUUAAAGUGGCUUAAUUUAUAAACGGAUAAUUUAAAAAUAGAAUUGGAACAUUAAGCCUUAAUAUGACCUAUACUCCUCGCAAUCCAGAAGUGAAGGGAGAAAUGUGGACAUGAGAGGGGCACAGAGGAAGACUACCUGAAGACACACAGAGAGAAGGUGACCACGUGGUUGGAGUGGAGCAUCUACAAACCAACACACAUACCAAGGAUUGCUGGCAAGUAUCACCAGAAGCUAGAAGAGGCAAGAAAGGAUUCUCCCCAAAGCUGUCAGCAAAAACACAGCACUGAUGGUACCUUGAUUUCAGACUUUUAGCCCCGAAACUGUGAGAGAGUAAAUUUCUGUUGUUUUAGGUGACCUGUUUUUUGGAAUUUGUUAUGUCAACUGUAGGAAAUGGAUAUUGUACAACGAUUGGGGCAUGACUUUGCAAUGGUUUACCUGCUCUCAGAUGAAAAUUUUUUUUUUUUGUUUUUUUUUUAGAUGGAGUCUUG